rnacentral:lncRNA from 1 species
GCAAAAGUAUCUAAAAAUCAGAAGAAUCUGCAGUCUGUGGUAGCUCUGGGGGCUUCAUAGCUUAUUUCAUUAGGCAAAUUUGUUGAUCCAGCUGAGGAAGUGGGAAAACUUAACAAGACAUAAUACAGCUUUCCUUUCCAAGAAAAAGUGAAGUCACCGCCUUUGAAAGAAGAGAAAUAUAGCCUGUUGUUAUAUGGCAAGUAUUUGUGCUUCUGAGAGAUUCCUUGAACUUGAUGACUCAAAACAUCCAUUAUCUGAGAGAGGGCUGUGAAUUUACAAGCAGGAGGGAUAACAAAGGAGAAGGAAAUCUGCUGCAGACCCAAAUUAUCUGCUAAACCUUCUUCCCCACAUAUAACUCUGUUACUCCUUGCUGGCACCCAUUCCUUAGGGAGAUUUGGGAAUCCUUCCAGACUUCUUCUAGUUCCCUCCUCUCUCUCCUAAUCCUAUUGACAACAGAAGAAAUGACACAAAAGAUCAACUGUUGGCUUUAUGUAAAAUAUUUCAUCAAAAUGGUGAGUCACUGGAAAAAGAUUUCUCAC